rnacentral:rRNA from 1 species
GAUGAACGCUGGCGGCGUGCCUAAUACAUGCAAGUCGAGCGAACGGACGAGAAGCUUGCUUCUUUGAUGUUAGCGGCGGACGGGUGAGUAACACGUGGAUAACCUACCUAUAAGACUGGGAUAACUUCGGGAAACCGGAGCUAAUACCGGAGGAUAUUUUGAACCGCAUGGUUCAAAAGUGAAAGACGGUCUUGCUGUCACUUAUAGAUGGUUCCGCGCUGCAUUAGCUAGUUGGUAAGGUAACGGCUAACCAAGGCAACGAUGCAUAGCCGACCUGAGAGGGUGAUCAGCCACACUGGAACUGAGACACGGUCCAGACUCCUACGGGAGGCAGCAGUGGGGAAUCUUCCGCAAUGGGCGAAAGCCUGACGGAGCAACACCGCGUGAGUGAUGAAGGUCUUCGGAUCGUAAAACUCUGUUAUUAGGGAAGAACAUAUGUGUAAGUAACUGUGCACAUCUUGACGGUACCUAAUCAGAAAGCCACGGCUAACUACGUG